rnacentral:rRNA from 1 species
CAUGCAGUCUCAGUACAGACUAUAUUAAAGUGAAACCGCAAAGGCUCAGUAAACCAGUUUUAAUUUACUAGAGUUAACUUGACUGUGCUUGGAUAACUGUGGUAAUUCUAGAGCUAAUACAUGCAACCAAGCCGUGACCAUUCGUGGUCAGGGCGCUUUUGUUAGACCAAGACCAAUCGCCCGGCCAGUCCGGGCGUUAAGUUGAGGAACCUAGAUAACACAGCAGAUCGCAUGGUCUCCGUACCGGCGACUUAUCUUUCAAAUGCCUGACUUAUCAACUGACGAUGGUAGACUCUGUGUCUACCAUGGCUGUUACGGGUAACGGGGAAUCAGGGUUCGAUUCCGGAGAGGGAGCCUGAGAAACGGCUACCACAUCCAAGGAAGGCAGCAGGCACGCAAAUUACCCACUCCCGGAACGGGGAGGUAGUGACAAAAAAUAACGAUACGGGACUCGAUAUGAGGCCUCGUAAUCGGAAUGAGUACACUCUAAAUCCUUUAACAAAAAUCUAUUGGAGGGCAAGUCUGGUGCCAGCAGCCGCGGUAAUUCCAGCUCCAAUAGCGUAUAUUAAAGUUGUUGCGGUUAAAAAGCUCGUAGUUGGUUCUGCGUCCCGCGCUGUCGGUACACCGUUUGUCGGUGACACUGGCAUGACGCGGGAUGUCCUGUCGGUGGCGGCGGANACCAUAUCGCCGUCGGAUAACACCGCGGCGUGUUGGCCUUCUGUCGCCGGCUAUAUCCUACCGCGGUGCUCUUCACUGAGUGUCGAGGUAGGCCGACACGUUUACUUUGAACAAAUUAGAGUGCUUAAAGCAGGCAAAAAUCUCUGCCAGAAUAGUGGUGCAUGGAAUAAUGGAACAGGACCUUGGUUCUAUUCUGUUGGUCUCCGGAACACAAGGUAAUGAUCAAUGUGGACAGGCGGGGGCAUUCGUAUUGCGGCGUUAGAGGUGAAAUUCUUGGAUCGUCGCAAGACGCACUAGAGCGAAAGCAAUUGGAGCUUUCCCCGGGAAACCAAAGCUUUUGGGUUCCGGGGGAAGUAUGGUUGCAAAGCUGAAACUUAAAGGAAUUGACGGAAGGGCACCACCAGAAGUGGAGCCUGCGGCUUAAUUUGACUCAACACGGGAAACCUCACCAGGUCAGGACAUUGGAAUGAUUGACAGAUUGAUAGCUCUUUCUUGAUUCAGUGGGUAGUGGUGCAUGGCCGUUCUUAGUUGGUGGAUCGAUUUGUCUGGUUAAUUCCGAUAACGAACGAGACUCUAGCCUAUUAACUAGACGCGUUUGGUAUCGAAUCUACCGGCGAACAAUAUUCUUCUUAAGGGGACAGGCGGCUUUUAGCCGCACGAGAUUGAGCAAUAACAGGUCUGUGAUGCCCUUAGAUGUCCUGGGCCGCACGCGCGCUACACUGAAGGAAUCAGCGUGUGCGUUCCCUUGGCCGAAAGGUCCGGGUAACCCGCUAAACCUCCUUCGUGCUAGGAAUUGGGGCUUGCAAUUGUUCCCCAUGAACGAGGAAUUCCCAGUAAGCGCGAGUCAUAAGCUCGCGUUGAUUACUUCCCUGCCCUUUGUACACACCGCCCGUCGCUACUACCGAUUGAAUGAUUUAGUGAGGUCUUCGGACUGGCGGUUAGCCCAACCGACUUUGUCGGUUUUGUCGAACGCUGGAAAGAUGACCAAACUUGAUCAUUUAGAGGAAGUAAAAGUCGUAACAAGGUUUCCU